UACGAAGGGCGCGGGUGUUAUUCGUUUUGAUUGGGUGUAAAGGGUACGUAGGCGGCUUCCGCCGUUGUUCGGCCGAAAUAGCGGAGUGUUCCUACGCUGAGGCCUUUCAAACAGGAGCUUGUGUUGGGUGGAGGUCGGACCAAUUUUCUUGUGUAGGGGUAAAAUCCUGCUAGAUAAGAACGAAGACCAGCUGGAGAAAUCGUCUUUCUAUGCCCAACAGACGCUAAGGUACGGAAGCUUGGGGCGCAAACGGG
rnacentral:rRNA from 1 species